ACGCUCGACACCUACUGGAGGCAGCAGUGGGGGAUAUUGCACAAUGGGGGAAACCCUGAUGCAGCAACGCCGCGUGAAGGAAGAAGGUCUUCGGAUUGUAAACUUCUGUCCUCAGGGAAGAUAAUGACGGUACCUGAGGAGGAAGCUCCGGCUAACUACGUGCCUGCAGCCGCGGUAAUCUGAGCGGGCUGGCAAGGC
rnacentral:rRNA from 1 species